UCAUAUCACGUUGAAGCACCGGUUUUCAUAUAAUCACUGAAGUUAAGCAACGUCGUGUCAGGUCAGUACUUAUAUGGGUGUCCACUUAGGAAUUCCAAGUGCU